rnacentral:rRNA from 1 species
AUGAAAGAUCAAUUCUCCGGCCUUCCUAGUGAAGAUGUCGCUACCCAUCUAAACAACUUUGUUGAUUUGUGUGAGAUGCAAAAGAAGAAAGAUACGGAUAAUGAUAUUGUUAAAUUGAAGUUAUUUCUGUUUUCACUUAGAGAUCGUGCUAAAACUUGGUUUUCGUCUUUGCCUAAGAAUAGUAUUGAUUCAUGGAAUAAGUGCAAAGAUGCUUUUAUCUCUAAGUAUUUUCCUCCCGCUAAGAUCAUCUCUCUUAGGAACGUUAUUAUGAAUUUUAAACAACUUGAUCAUGAGCAUGUUGCCAAAUCUUGGGAAAGAAUGAAAUUGAUGAUUCGCAAUUGCCCUACUCAUGGUUUGAACUUAUGGAUGAUCAUACAAAUUUUUUAUGCCGGAUUGAAUUUUGCUUCUAGAAAUCUUUUAGAUUCAGCUGCGGGAGGCACUUUUAUGGAAAUCACCUUAGAAGAAGCUACUAAACUCCUUGAUAAUAUUAUGAAUAAUUAUUCUCAAUGGCACAAUGAAAGAUCUACUAGUAAAAAAGUGCAUGCUAUAGAAGAAAUUAAUGUUUGGAGUGGAAAGAUGGCUGAACUUAUGAAAUUGUUUGCUACUAAGAGUGCUCCUAUUAAUCCCAGUGAUAUGCCUUUGUCUACUUUUAUUGAGAAUAAUAAUGAAUCUUUGUAUGUGAAUUUUGUUGGUAGGAAUAAUUUUGGUAACAAUGCUUAG